rnacentral:rRNA from 1 species
AUAUUGGCCAGAGACCGAUAGCGCACAAGUAGAGUGAUCGAAAGAUGAAAAGCACUUUGGAAAGAGAGUCAAACAGCACGUGAAAUUGUUGAAAGGGAAGCGCUUGCAGCCAGACUUGCUUGCAGUUGCUCAUCCGGGCUUUUGCCCGGUGCACUCUUCUGCAGGCAGGCCAGCAUCAGUUUGGGCGGUAAGAUAAAGGUCUCUGUCACGUACCUCUCUUCGGGGAGGCCUUAUAGGGGAGACGACAUAUUACCAGCCUGGACUGAGGUCCGCGCAUCUGCUAGGAUGCUGGCGUAAUGGCUGUAAGCGGCCCGUCUUGAAACACGGACC